UAAUUUGUCACUUAUCUUGAACAUAAGAAGUAUACAGUUCAAUUAAAUUAUCUUGCUAAUGGAACGGAGUAAUAUAAUAGGAAUGAUUUUUAACCCUCUACAUGGCUGAUAAAAACACAAUAAUGAAUCUGCACUUUCAUUUCCAAAAUAAAGUCGAAGGAAUCAAUAGUAUUUUUUUCUUGGUCUUUAUUGGCACGCAUUUAAACAUUUACAAUUUUAUUAUAAUAUAACACAAUAUACUCGAAAAAUAACUCGUUAAAACAUGUAGACAAGCAAUAAUUGAAAAGACCAUUAUAAAAUAGGGCCCAAUCAAGAGUAUUUUAAAUAAAUAAUUUAGAAAUAACAUCGAUGGGACGAUGAACUAAAAAAAUAAAAGAGUUUAAAUCUUCAAUAAAACAUUUGCAUAAAGAUUAGCAAUAUGUAAAAUUCCAUUGAGGUUGUCUUUCAUUACUGUCCGUAAUUUAUAGACUAUAUAUUGCGUUUAAUAAUAAUUGCAUCAACUCUCUCUCAUUAUUUGAAAUAGAGAGGAAAUCUUCUUUACCAAGUUGUUUAUUGAAAAAUGUAUUAACCAUUUUAAUAAAGUCCCCAUAAAUUUUAGAUAAAGAUUUACAUUCCCACAAAAUAUGAUCGGUUGUCUCUUUGGAGCAUUGACAGGGGAAGCAAAUUCCACUUUCGUCAUUAAAAUACUUAGAACCAACCUCGAGAGUCCCGGAUAAUAUUCUGUAUUUAAACCAUCUUUCACUCCUACUAAAAUACUUAUUGGUGAUUGUCUUAAGGCUUUCUUGGCUAUGUUUUUUAAUGCUACGUUGUUCUAAAUAUGAGUUGAAUGUUGUUAAGGUAGGUGUGUACAUACGUUUUCUCAAGUAGGAAUUACUUGUAUAACAUGAUUUCAUUCCAAAAGGGACGAAAGGACGUUUUACUGAAAUGUUUAUUCGAAAAAUAGAUGAAUAAAAGACAAAAGCCAUUUAAAUCAUUAGACAAUCUGUCAAGUUAACAUCUACAGCAAUAUCAGAGUUUAUGACACACAUAGUAUUUUGGUUAAUGCAACCUCUAGUUGACAUAUCCAAUUGUAAAGAUAAUUCAAACUCUUUAACUACUUAAGUAGCACCAUCACAAAAAAAUUUAAAACGCUCCGAGUAUAAUGACAACACUUUAAAAACAUGCAAAAGUCCCACAUGUGGGCUUAGCUGAUAUUCCACAUGGUUUAGCUUUAAGAAUUCAUUUAAAUGAAUUUUCCAAUAAUCGUCAUAUUCCCAUAACUUUCUAAUUCAAUAGAAGUUCAGAGUUUUCCAUAGAACAACGAAAUCCACCACAACCAGCCCCCUUCCCCCCAAAGUUCAAUGGGUUAUGGACUCUUUGGUGGUUUCAAGGUUCAUAGAAAUACAAGGUUAAACCAUCACGUAAUCGGCGUUGCUAGAAUUUUCAAUUUGAUGUAUCGUACCGACUGCUGGGCAAGAGAGGGAGAUUUUGAAGUCAUAGUGAAUAGAAAGCGUACCAAAUACAAAUUCACAAAAGGCCAAAAUUAAGAACUGGAACUAGGCUGUGGGUCAAGAGAGAUAAGUUUGGUAUCCUUGGAGUAUGAUAUGAUAUAUUACUUACAUUUUACAAUAUAUUAUUAUUAUUACGAUAAUAAUACCUAUUCACCAUUCCGGAAAAAGGAUAAUGUAUUCGCGAAUUGAAAAUUUUAGUUGUGCAGUUGCCAUUUGUGAUUAUCCUAACAAUCAUUGAUCAUCAUUUUCGAAGGAUCCCUCAAGGAGGAAAAAAAUGGGGAAGUGCUUGUCAUCGAAGGAACCCCUUAGGAAAAUAUCCUAGAAUUUGUGAGAAUCAUUUUGAGGAAAAUGCUUAUAAAAGGGGUUUAAAAGUUAAUUGCUGGGACUACUUACGAAAAUAAAACUGAAAUGAAAUGUUAUCCCUUCCAGAGGUCUCAUACCUGGAAAAGGAUUUGAGGAAGCUCCAAGGAAAACAAAAUGAAUUAAGAUUGUGGAACAUUUUGAAGAAGAUUCUAAUGAAAUAUAUUUGGAGACAUUAGACACUUGUGUUAGAAAAGGUUAACGCAUGUAAUCAAGCAUGUGUAUUCCGGAUUAUACAAAUUAGUAGGGUUUCUAAUUUUACAAAAGAACUUGAGUUACUAAGGAAAUAGAAUGCAGAUUAUCACGAAAAAGUGAAAAUUCUUCAAUCGGAAAAUACAUUAUUAAAAUCUAAAUCUAAUUAUAAGGAAGCGAUGAAACGAGAACUGGAAAACAGAUUUACUAAAUCUCAAUGUAAACUCAUUAUCAGUGGAAAGAGGUUUGGAAAAUGGGAUGAUGAGGAUUUUGUUAAAGGAAUGAUACUGAAGUCUCUUUCCUCAAAAGCCUAUCGUUACAUUCAAUGCAGUGGUGUACUUCCCGAUCCUAGUGUAACAACCCUCAAACGGUGGAUCCGAAAUUUUAAAACAGCUCCUGGAAUACGAUCACAUAUUAUUAAAAUUAUCGCUCAACAAAUUAAAUCAAACGAUACUCUAAAUGGAUAAUUAGCUGUCUUGUGCUUUGAUGAGAUGAAGCCCCGAAUAUUUUCAAGAAAGGACUUUGGAUGUGCAUAUGGAGUAAAUUUAGAUAUAGAAAAUUAUAUUCUCCAAAGCAUGAUAAUUGUAAUAAUGAAGCAAAUUAAGAGAAAUGAAAAUGGUGAAGUGGUGUUGCAUAAGUCAUCUGCUUUGAUACCCUACCAAAAGGACAUAAGAAUUUCUUCAAAAUCUUUGCUAUAAUUGUAUCAAUACAUAAAUAAUGAAAUUGGCCCUCCAUUUAUAUUGACAUCUUGUUUAAAUCAAGAUUGUUUUGAAAACUUUUUUCAAGAGUAAGACAUAUUGGACGAACCCACUCCCAUCCGAAUGCCGUAGAGGCCAUAGAUCGAUUUUGGAUACACGUAAUAAGUGGCUCAGAAAAAAUAGUUGUUUAGAAUGCUCCCGUCAGAUUUGAGAAAGACCAAUGUUUUGUUUCUAUGUUUCAAUAAAUUAGAGGUCCUUUCUUGAGCAAAGCAGAUUCAGAAGAUAACAUUGGGGUGUAAUCCAGCAUCCAAGUUCCUCCAAGUCCAUGGCUUAAAAAUUAUCAAGAGGUGGGACUACUUCAACCAUCGGAAUAUUUUUGGAAUUUUGCAAAAAAAAAUAGAAAAGCAUUUCAUGAAGUUUCAUUUUUUUUUUUUUUUUUUUGGUCAAUAAUUUCAAAUAGGAAUCUUGAUAUAAUAUUUCCCUAAGUAUCUAAAGUAUUCCAUACUUUUAAAUUGAAAGAAGAAAAAUAAUAAGUCGUCUUCCUAAUUUUCUUACGAAUCUCUUUCCCAUUCAUUUCGUAACUUCCUUCGCCUAUCUAAGAUCCCAAGAGUUGUAACUUUGAUUUCAAUUUAAAAUUAGGCUAAGUCUUUCCAAGUGACCCGUUAUAAGGACUAAUAAUUUCAGUUUUCUCUUCAUUCAACAACAGACCAGAUAAUUUAGAGAAUGAAAAAAGGACCCCAAACGUGUUUUUGACUGAUUUUAUUAUCUUAUACGCACUCCCGCAAAAUAACAUUGUUAAGUCGUCUGUAUAACAACUGAGAGCCUUUAAUUCUAUCUCUAUGAUCUAUUAGCUCAUCAAGGCGUAUAAUAAAAAGUAUUGGGAACAAAAGAUCUCCCUGACAAACACCCUGUUGUUCGAAUAAUAUUCGAAUUCGUUUUUACAUUUAAUCAUUGUACGAGUACGUGCUAAGGUAACUGCAACCAUACAAAUGAUAAAAUCGCAAAAUCCUUUUCAGGACAGUGUUUUAAUUAUGUACUCAUGAUACUAAGUAUCAAAGACAUUGGAAAAAUCCACUGUCAUCACUGUUAAGUCAUUGACUUGAAAAUUAGACUCGAUAAGAGUCUGUAGUGUAAAAGGGAUACUUUCCAUGAUCUUGUUUUUCUACAAAACCAUAUUGUGAUCGAUGGAAAGUUUUGCUCAAAACUUGUGUAUACGAUUAGAGAAUGGGAAUGAAAAAAAUUUGUACAAGCCAUUUUGCAUAACAAGAGGUCUUAAAUUUUUAAGAUAUCUAGUAUCCUUUUUUGUUUCGGAAGCAGGAGGAUGUGUCCUUCUGAAGCGAAGUCAGGCAAAAAACCAACACUAAGAUCCUUUUUACAAAACAAGAAUAAAAUCAGUGAAGAAAAGGAGAUAUAUUUCUUAAAAAUAAAAAAGGAAAAUUACUUACACAAAAAUUCUUCUAAUACUAAAAAUAUUUCAAAGCUGAAAUCAUAUUGAAUAGUGAAUUAGCUCCUUUAUUUCUUCAAUGUCAUCUUUACAUUGUACAUAAUAUUUUUUUGAUAAUAAAAUAAAAUUGAAUUAAAAUUAUAUAAAGUUUUCAAUAAAAAAAUUAAAUUUUUAGUAUUUUAAAAAGGGUAAGUUAUGACAUUUGAGCUGUUAAAGUUGCAAUUUUCUGCAUUUACUUUAUUAAUAUGAUAGAUGAUAAAUCAAUUUACACUCUAGGAAAGAAAAGCUCACGCUUUAGAAAAUCUCGUUCCAUAUUCAUUUCAGUGUUCCAUGGUAUAUAACACAAAUGGAUGAUUAAAAGUUUUAAGGCACUCGGGCUAGGAGAUAAGUUUAUAAGAAUGGUGACAGUAAGUAUCUAUGACCUUAUUACGUUUUAUAAAAGAGAAAAUUAUAAUUUCAAUGUGAAUAAAGGAUCUCGUCAAUC
rnacentral:lncRNA from 1 species